UACAGGGGGGGCAAGCGUUGUUCGGAAUUACUGGGCGUAAAGGGCUCGUAGGCGGCCGGCUAAGUCCGACGUGAAAUCCCCAGGCUUAACCUGGGAACUGCGUCGGAUACUGGCGGGCUUGAAUCCGGGAGAGGGUCGCGGAAUUCCCGGUGUAGAGGUGAAAUUCGUAGAUAUCGGGAGGAACACCAGUGGCGAAGGCGGCGGCCUGGACCGAUACUGACGCUGAGGUGCGAAAGCGUGGGGAGCAAACAGG
rnacentral:rRNA from 1 species